GAUUAAGUUAUUAAGGGCGCACGGUGGAUGCCUUGGCACUAGAAGCCGAUGAAGGACGUUACUAACGACGAUAUGCUUUGGGGAGCUGUAAGUAAGCUUUGAUCCAGAGAUUUCCGAAUGGGGAAACCCAGCAUGAGUUAUGUCAUGUUAUCGAUAUGUGAAUACAUAGCAUAUCAGAAGGCACACCCGGAGAACUGAAACAUCUUAGUACCCGGAGGAAGAGAAAGAAAAUUCGAUUCCCUUAGUAGCGGCGAGCGAAACGGGAAGAGCCCAAACCAACAAGCUUGCUUGUUGGGGUUGUAGGACACUCUGUACGGAGUUACAAAGGACGACAUUAGACGAAUCAUCUGGAAAGAUGAAUCAAAGAAGGUAAUAAUCCUGUAGUCGAAAAUGUUGUCUCUCUUGAGUGGAUCCUGAGUACGACGGAGCACGUGAAAUUCCGUCGGAAUCUGGGAGGACCAUCUCCUAAGGCUAAAUACUCUCUAGUGACCGAUAGUGAACCAGUACCGUGAGGGAAAGGUGAAAAGCACCCCGGAAGGGGAGUGAAAUAGAACCUGAAACCGUGUGCUUACAAGUAGUCAGAGCCCGUUAAUGGGUGAUGGCGUGCCUUUUGUAGAAUGAACCGGCGAGUUACGAUUUGAUGCAAGGUUAAGCAGUAAAUGUGGAGCCGUAGCGAAAGCGAGUCUGAAUAGGGCGUUUAGUAUUUGGUCGUAGACCCGAAACCAGGUGAUCUACCCUUGGUCAGGUUGAAGUUCAGGUAACACUGAAUGGAGGACCGAACCGACUUACGUUGAAAAGUGAGCGGAUGAACUGAGGGUAGCGGAGAAAUUCCAAUCGAACCUGGAGAUAGCUGGUUCUCUCCGAAAUAGCUUUAGGGCUAGCCUCAAGUGAUGAUUAUUGGAGGUAGAGCACUGUUUGGACGAGGGGCCCCUCUCGGGUUACCGAAUUCAGACAAACUCCGAAUGCCAAUUAAUUUAACUUGGGAGUCAGAACAUGGGUGAUAAGGUCCGUGUUCGAAAGGGAAACAGCCCAGACCACCAGCUAAGGUCCCAAAAUAUAUGUUAAGUGGAAAAGGAUGUGGCGUUGCCCAGACAACUAGGAUGUUGGCUUAGAAGCAGCCAUCAUUUAAAGAGUGCGUAAUAGCUCACUAGUCGAGUGACACUGCGCCGAAAAUGUACCGGGGCUAAACAUAUUACCGAAGCUGUGGAUUGUCCUUUGGACAAUGGUAGGAGAGCGUUCUAAGGGCGUUGAAGCAUGAUCGUAAGGACAUGUGGAGCGCUUAGAAGUGAGAAUGCCGGUGUGAGUAGCGAAAGACGGGUGAGAAUCCCGUCCACCGAUUGACUAAGGUUUCCAGAGGAAGGCUCGUCCGCUCUGGGUUAGUCGGGUCCUAAGCUGAGGCCGACAGGCGUAGGCGAUGGAUAACAGGUUGAUAUUCCUGUACCACCUAUAAUCGUUUUAAUCGAUGGGGGGACGCAGUAGGAUAGGCGAAGCGUGCGAUUGGAUUGCACGUCUAAGCAGUAAGGCUGAGUAUUAGGCAAAUCCGGUACUCGUUAAGGCUGAGCUGUGAUGGGGAGAAGACAUUGAGUCUUCGAGUCGUUGAUUUCACACUGCCGAGAAAAGCCUCUAGAUAGAAAAUAGGUGCCCGUACCGCAAACCGACACAGGUAGUCAAGAUGAGAAUUCUAAGGUGAGCGAGCGAACUCUCGUUAAGGAACUCGGCAAAAUGACCCCGUAACUUCGGGAGAAGGGGUGCUCUUUAGGGUUAACGCCCAGAAGAGCCGCAGUGAAUAGGCCCAAGCGACUGUUUAUCAAAAACACAGGUCUCUGCUAAACCGUAAGGUGAUGUAUAGGGGCUGACGCCUGCCCGGUGCUGGAAGGUUAAGAGGAGUGGUUAGCUUCUGCGAAGCUACGAAUCGAAGCCCCAGUAAACGGCGGCCGUAACUAUAACGGUCCUAAGGUAGCGAAAUUCCUUGUCGGGUAAGUUCCGACCCGCACGAAAGGCGUAACGAUUUGGGCACUGUCUCAACGAGAGACUCGGUGAAAUCAUAGUACCUGUGAAGAUGCAGGUUACCCGCGACAGGACGGAAAGACCCCGUGGAGCUUUACUGUAGCCUGAUAUUGAAAUUCGGCACAGCUUGUACAGGAUAGGUAGGAGCCUUUGAAACGUGAGCGCUAGCUUACGUGGAGGCGCUGGUGGGAUACUACCCUAGCUGUGUUGGCUUUCUAACCCGCACCACUUAUCGUGGUGGGAGACAGUGUCAAGCGGGCAGUUUGACUGGGGCGGUCGCCUCCUAAAAGGUAACGGAGGCGCUCAAAGGUUCCCUCAGAAUGGUUGGAAAUCAUUCAUAGAGUGUAAAGGCAUAAGGGAGCUUGACUGCGAGACCUACAAGUCGAGCAGGGUCGAAAGACGGACUUAGUGAUCCGGUGGUUCCGCAUGGAAGGGCCAUCGCUCAACGGAUAAAAGCUACCCCGGGGAUAACAGGCUUAUCUCCCCCAAGAGUUCACAUCGACGGGGAGGUUUGGCACCUCGAUGUCGGCUCAUCGCAUCCUGGGGCUGUAGUCGGUCCCAAGGGUUGGGCUGUUCGCCCAUUAAAGCGGUACGCGAGCUGGGUUCAGAACGUCGUGAGACAGUUCGGUCCCUAUCCGUCGUGGGCGUAGGAAAUUUGAGAGGAGCUGUCCUUAGUACGAGAGGACCGGGAUGGACAUACCUCUGGUGUACCAGUUGUCGUGCCAACGGCAUAGCUGGGUAGCUAUGUGUGGACGGGAUAAGUGCUGAAAGCAUCUAAGCAUGAAGCCCCCCUCAAGAUGAGAUUUCCCAACUUCGGUUAUAAGAUC
rnacentral:rRNA from 2 species